rnacentral:rRNA from 1 species
AUGAACGCUGGCGGCGUGGAUAAGGCAUGCAAGUCAAACGGUGCUUUUAUUGUAGCAAUACUUUAAAAGUGCAGUGGCAGACGAGUUAGUAAUACCCUGGUAUCUACCCCAAAAUCUGGCAUAACCCAUCGAAAGGUGGAUUAAUUCCGGAUAGUCUCGAAAGAGUAAAGGCGCAAGCCGUUUUGGGAGGAACCUAGGUCCUAUCAGCUAGUUGGUGAGGUAAUGGCUCACCAAGGCUAUGACGGGUAGGGGGCGUGAGAGCGCGACCCUCAACGACGAAACUGAGACACGGUUCGUACACCUACGGGUGGCAGCAGUCGAGAAUAUUCCACAAUGGGCGAAAGCCUGAUGGAGCGACGCCGCGUGCAGGAAGAAGGCCUUCGGGUUGUAAACUGCUUUUGCUUGGGAAGAAAUUUGACGGUACCAAGCGAAUAAGGGGCUGCUAACUUCGU